AAACUACUCCCUCCGUCCGAAAAUACUUGUCAUAAAAAUGGAUACAAAUGAAUGUAUCUAGAACUAAAAUACAUCUAGAUACAUUCAUUCUUCAGACAAGUAUUUCCUGACGGAGGGAGUAUUUG
rfam:Triticum aestivum genome assembly, contig: Triticum_aestivum_CS42_TGACv1_scaffold_061383_1DL